UCACACACAGGAUAAAAUAGCAACAGCAGCAGCACAGUUGGAUCUCAAUCUCUUACGCUGGCGACUCCUGUAGUAGUAAAAAAAAAUGAAACAACUACUUCAUGUUCUUGAAAAACACGUCGAUAAGAGACAGCUAGCUACAAUUAAUUACGGAGCCACAGACACUAGGCUGUAAAAAAAAUUUGGUUGAACCUUUUUGACAACAGCCAACCACAGAACUAGGAGCAUGAAAGCGUCUUCCCCCCUCCCAGCCAAUCACGGAGCGGACAUUCACAGCACUUGAAGCGCGUAAGGAUACACAAGGUUCACCAACGCAAUGCAAAAUGUGCCCAUCCCAUCAACAAAGGUUCUCGUUCUCGGCUCCAAACCCAACCAAGAAAAUAAAUCACAUCGCCUCCAUCCAUCCCACUGUAUUGGAUAAUUUUAGUCUGGUGAUUCAAUAUUUUCUCUCUUUGUUUAAAGUUUGUUUAUACCUCCGUGGAAAAACACAAGAGGGAAACAGAAAGGUGAUGGAAGAGGAGAGUCCAAGGAGACGAGAUGGGAGCACACCAUGCGAGAAGAGAUCUGCUACGCUGAAGCCAAAUUAUCUCUACAGCCAUUCAUAACAAUAAAAUCAAAAUGAUGCUUGGCCUAUUGGAAAUGAUAAAGCUGAACAGUAAUUUUUACAGUACAUAUUUUUUAACAGUUAUGUAGUUAUGUUCAUCUCAAUAAACAUUGCAGAAAACAAUAUACAAAUAAA